AUUGAACGCUGGCGGCAUGCUUUACACAUGCAAGUCGGACGAGUGGCGAACGGGUGAGUAACGCAUCGGAACGUACCGAGUAAUGGGGGAUAACUGUCCGAAAGGACAGCUAAUACCGCAUAUUAUUCGAGCGGCCGAUGUCUGCUUAGAUGGUUGGCGGGGUAAAGGCCAACCAAGGCGAAGAUCCGUAGCGGGUCUGGGAGUAUGAUACGCGACACGUGAACUGAGGCACGGCCCAGACUCCACGUGGAGGCAGCAGUGGGGAAUUCUGGAAAAUGGGCGCAAGCCUUAUCCAGCCAUGCCGCGUGACUGAAGAAGGCCUUCGUGUUGUAAAGUACUUUUGUCAGGGAAGCGGUACCUGAAGAAUAAGCACCGGCUAACUACGUGCCAGCAGCCGCGGUAAUUC
rnacentral:rRNA from 1 species